rnacentral:rRNA from 1 species
GACGUAGGGGGCGAGCGUUGUCCGGAAUUACUGGGCGUAAAGGGCAUGCAGGCGGUCCGACACGUUUUGUGUGACAGCGGGUGGCUUAACUACCCGAGGAUACGAAAGACGGUUGGACUUGAGGACUCGAGAGGGACACGGAAUUCCGGGUGGAGUGGUGAAAUGCGUAGAGAUCCGGAGGAACACCGAAGGCGAAGGCAGUGUCCUGGCGAGUGACUGACGCUGAGGUGCGAAAGCCAGGGGAGCGAACGGG